GCCCUCUCAGGUUCACAACCGGAGAGUUUCCAGUACUCUACCAGACAUGACUAUGGGAGGGAGAGUCAAGCAGAGACCUACCCAUUCCAUUCCUAGCUUGGGCUUUGGCUAGAGAGUGGAAGAGAAUCUGCUACAAAU